rnacentral:rRNA from 1 species
UGAACGCUGGCGGCGUGCCUAAUACAUGCAAGUCGAGCGAACAGACGAGGAGCUUGCUCCUCUGACGUUAGCGGCGGACGGGUGAGUAACACGUGGAUAACCUACCUAUAAGACUGGGAUAACUUCGGGAAACCGGAGCUAAUACCGGAUAAUAUAUUGAACCGCAUGGUUCAAUAGUGAAAGACGGUUUUGCUGUCACUUAUAGAUGGAUCCGCGCCGCAUUAGCUAGUUGGUAAGGUAACGGCUUACCAAGGCAACGAUGCGUAGCCGACCUGAGAGGGUGAUCGGCCACACCGGAACUGAGACACGGUCCAGACUCCUACGGGAGGCAGCAGUAGGGAAUCUUCCGCAAUGGGCGAAAGCUUGACGGAGCAACGCCGCGUGAGUGAUGAAGGUCUUCGGAUCGUAAAACUCUGUUAUUAGGGAAGAACAAAUGUGUAAGUAACUAUGCACGUCUUGACGGUACCUAAUCAGAAAGCCACGGCUAACUACGUG